CUUAUCGCAAGUCUAUGUUUAAUUUAUUGGGGAAGAACCAAACGAUUUUCCAGUUUACAGUCUGGUUGGCUACACGACUUUCCAUUCCUACCUGCAGUGUGUGAAGAAUCCAUCCUCUCCCGUCGCCAGCACGUGCCAGCUCUUCGCUCAGUCAACACUUCAGAUCUGUGCAGGGAGAUCACAGGAUUUUCAACGUCAGCCUCCGGCCCCUUCCUCUAUUUUGCCCAAGGCGCUGGUUGGAGCCCUCCCCUGUGUGGCUCUCCACCGGGUCAGGUGAUGAAGUGAGAACAGGUUCACAGCAGGAGUGUUGCUAAUCCCUCUAACCUGGGACCUGGGGUCCUGUGCGGAACCCACGGACGUUGGCUCAACUGGGAGAGUUGCCAGCACAAGUCGCCAGAGGCCUGAGCCGCACCCACCAGGCUGGAUUUGAGAGUUCUGCAGGACCCUGGACACGGAAGGGGUUGGCGGUGAGCAACGGGGAGUGUGAGAAGCUCGGGGUGCUCUCUGAGACCCCUGCCAAGCAAAGGCUCACUCUCCAAGAAGUGGGGAGCAAGGGUCCUCUUCUCCUACUGGUACCCACCACCAAAGUCUUUCUAACUCCGAGGAGGAGAGACGAGGGGAAAGAAAAGGCGAAGAGAAAAGGGGAAUGAAGGCCAAGCACCUUUCUCCCAGGAUUAUACUUGGUGUGGAGUGAAACCCCUUUCUAUUUUCAAGCUCUUACUGGGCACUGGACCUUCAGUGGAUCACCCAAGGGCCUGCUGGGUACUCCAGAGAGAGACACAGAAGUCGGGGGCUUGUCCUCAGGGACUCGAGACUCACGGACGAAGAUUGGAAACCCACCAAGCCCUCUGUGACAUCCGGGCCACCGGCACCCUCCUCCCAUGGGGUGAGAGUUGUAUCACGGGGACAAGGAUGGUGCCCUGUAAAUGCUGACCCACCAAUGGGGACACUGGGGAUUGGGCAGUCUGGGGACAAAGGCAGACACAGAGGAGUGGCUAUGUGGAGAUUAGGAAGAGAAGCGUGGGUGGGGGGCUGCCUCCUGUGGCCCAGGGUAUCCUGCCAGUGUGCUGUUUGACCCAAGCCAUGUGGUGGGAUCCCCUCUGGGGCCUCUAGGGUCCCCAAGAAGCAGCGAGUACAGGGUAUGCUGUCCUCAUGCAAUUGUAUUCCUCUCAAUCCAGCUUUCAGGAAAUGCGUGGCCAGAGGCAGUUUAACUGGAAUGGCUUUAUAACACUUUUCACAUCAGAUCAAACCCUGUGAUGACCAAUGCAUUCCACUGUUUGGUUUGAAAAGCACAUUAACAAAGGGGUGCAGGGCUGGCUUCAUUAGGGAUGUACAGAACUGCCCCAGUGCAGCCCCGACGGUUCUGCAGGCCCAGGGUGAAGGAAUGAAUUGGCUUCCUCUUGUGUUUUAAAUCCAUCACUUGUUGGAGCAAAUCAAUUCCCCAGAGUACGAGCGUCCCCAAUGGAGUGAUAAGAUCAGGUUCUGGAAUGCACACGCUCGGCUCUGGAUCAAGAUGGCCCUCACCCCACAGAGGCGUGGCGCCAAGGCCUCAGCACCCCCACCGCCCGGGGCAAGCAGUGGUGCCCGCCUUCACCUUCUGGGAGGAAAGUUCUUCAUCCAGGUCUGUGGACCCAGGCUCCACCUUCCCAGAUUGCUGCAAGUUCUGCCUUGGCUCCACACCAGAGAGUGAGCAUCACUGUGCCUGGGACUUGGGGAUCUGUCCCCGGGCUGGGGGAGAGGAGCGAGCAGAGGAAGGUUCCUGGUGAAGCCACGCUGGCCUCACUCCAGACCUCGCAUCCUCUCAUCAGCUGAAGAUCCACCAGUGCAGGUGGGCAGCACAGGGCCAGGCGGCCCAUGGCUCCCUUAACGGGGAGGGGUGGGAAAUUGGGACAAGCUCCCUGAGAGCCAAAACCUCCAACUUCGGUGGGUCAGCCACACAGUGCCCGGGAAAGCAGGCGGUGGCCUCCCUGUUUCCCCCGAGCCACAGCCGCUGACCUGACUCCACAUGGCAGGAACUAUCUGCGGGGCUUCUCUCAAGACCUUGCCUGAGGAGGAUCCCCCUUGUCUGCAGGCGGGACCCCGAGCCCGGACCCCCAGGAAGGGGCCACCCUAACUGCCCUCCUCUUAAACCACAGCCUUGUUUUCCAGCAACCCUGCCCCCUUCCAAAGGAAUCCUUCCUCUCUCCCUUGAAGGGCCUGCGGACAGAUUAAAGGCUCCUUCUCUGCUCCAGGUUUUUCUCCCAGAGGAGCUGAAUUUUAGCCGAAUACCCACGGGCAGUUAGGGUGGCCCCUAACAGCUCUCAGGGAGCCGGGCCCGAUUUCCCACCCCUCCCGCUGUAGGCACUGGUAAGGAGGUAUCUCACUGGUCCGCUGGCAAUCCCGCGGGGAGUGGCUCUUCUUUCGGGAUUUGCUGAACCCAGGCUGGCAGAGCUCAGGCUGGCGAAUCCCUGUGUUGCAAAGCCAGGGCACUGAAAGGAGGCAGGGAGGGGCUGCUUCCGGCACCCAGAGUCUUGGCAGCUGUUGCCGGGCAAGAAUCUACUGCCGCCGCUGCCAUUGGUCCUUCUGCCUCUUCCUGGCAGAGCAAGAGUGAUGCCCACACCCAGGGCUGGUCCAUUUCGCCACCCAGGCUGCCUAAGGAGGCCAUGCCCACUGGCUUAGGUGGCUUCUUGGGGUCCAGCACCAUUCCAGCCAGUGCCACAGGGACAGACACAGGGGGAGCAGUCACAGCUGCCUGGUCACGGCCCCCACGCCACGGCUCCUGGGCACAGCUGCUCUGUGAUUCUCCUGCCUGCUGCUUGCCCGGCUCCCUCGUCUUCUCUCUCCCCGGGCCUCACCCUUUCCCAGUGCCUGUUGCUGCUGGAUGGGCAGGCGGGCACCCAACUCCUGGCUCUCCUGCUGUCAUGUCUCCUGGGGUGCAGUGCUGGGCAACCUCAUGCAGCCAGCGUCUGUCUCAGGCUGCAGGGCACUGGGCACUCUUUGGGCACAUCAGCCUCAGGCUCCCCAAGGGCAGGCCCCACCUGGUUUGUUCAUCUGCGCCUAGAGCAGCACUUGGCACAUAGUAGGAUCGAAUAGAUGAGUGAUCUGAGGGGCUGUGGCACCCACUCCCCCCCACAGCAGGAACUGGCCUGUUUGCAUCUUUCCUGCAGGACCAGAAGCCUGACUUCUGGGAAGCCCUGGAACCCUGGAAGAGGAAGGGGCAGAUUCUAGGGUGAACUGGCUGUGCAGUACAGAGGCAAACAGCAGAGAGGCUGGUGGUGGGGUGAGGGUGAGUGGCAGGGAAGUGAGGGCAGACCUUGUAGAAUUCCAGAAAGGCCAGAUCAGCAGUGACCCCUGUUUAUUAGGCGUCUCCCUCCAACCAGGAGCUGGGACCAAACCGUCAGAGUGUCUGCAAGUCAUCAAGGCCAGAGGCAGUGUGGUGUCAUGGUUAGAGCACCAGCUUUGCAAGGGACGUACACCUGGGUCCACGUCGUUGUGUGACCUCAGGGAAAUCUCUCAACCCCUCUGUGUCUGUUAAAUAGGAACGACAACAGUAACAACUCUCACAGGGUUACUGUGAGGAUUUGAUGUGAUGGUGCAGGAGAAAGGCUUAAAGUAGUGUCUGGCAUGUGGUAAAAUUUAAUCAGUUUUAGUUAAAAGUGGCAGUGGUGAUAAUUAUAGCAAAGGUUUGGAUGGGUGGAAAAGCCUCAGUAAACAAGAAGCGUGGGUGUCCCCGUUGCUGUGUGAACCUGAGGCAUGUGCAUGUCCCUUUGGUUUCUGCAGUUAGGGAGGGAGGAGCCGGGGAUGGACGCUGUGGAGCCCUUUGUCCUGAGAUUUGUGGGGUUGAAUGAUGAGCUGGUUUAGGCUCAUGGCGCAGUUUUCUUAGGCCAAUUGCAUUUCGUCCUUGUGCCACCUCUGGGCAGUCAACUGGCCAAUGACUAUGACCAUGAUGUUUCUGGUAAGGAAAUCCAAGGCCCAGCGAGUGAAGUGAAAUGGCCACACCACACCUUUCUGGCCAACGAGGGCAGAACCCACAUUGCUAACUUCUGCCCUGAGUUCCUGGGGCCUUCACAGUCUGCUGGGCUUAUGAGCUUGUUUGUCAAUUCGUUUUUUGUUUUUUUCUCUUUUUUUAAUAAAUGGCCAUGAACAGUUUGGAAACCCAGACAAUCAGUACUUCUGGGGGCAAAGCCCUACCCCAGGGAAGGGACUGUCUUGGACUUUAAAGACGAAUAUUCUGGAAUCUGCUCUUAUGAACACAUGAUGGUCACAUAUUGGGGCCUGAUGCCUGAGACCUUAUAAAGUACUUUCACAGACCUUACAGCUUUGGUGCCUCCCAGCCCAUAUGCUUUUCAUCCCGUGUAUCAGUCAGGGUUCUCUAGAGGGACAGAGCUAAUAGGAUAGAUAGAUAUAUCUAAAAGGGAGUUUAUUAAAUAUUCACAGUCACAAGGUCCCACAAUGGGCUGUCUGCAAGUUUGAGGAGCAAGGGGAGCCAGUCUGAGUCUCAAAACUGAAGAACUUGGAGUCUGAUGUUCAAGGACAGGAAGCAUCCAGCGCGGGAGAGAGGUGUAGGCUGGGAGGCUGGGCUGGUCUCGCCUUCUCACCUUUUCCUGCUGCUUUAUAUUCGCUGGAAGCUGAUUGAGGGUGGGUCUGCCUGCCCAGCCCACUGACUCAAAUGUUAAUCUCUUUUGGCAACACCCUCCCAGACACACCCAGGACUAAUUCUUUGCAUCCUUCGGUCCAAUCAAGCUGACAGUAUCAACCAUCACAUCCCACUUGGCGAAUAGUCUCAGAAACAGGAAGGGUUGUAAAGUCAGGACUUGAACUCAGAUCUUCAGGUUCUGAGCCCAAAGAAACCCUCUCUGAGGGCACUAGAAGUGUCCUAUGACCUGACUAGGUGCCCAGCCCAGGGUCAUCGAAUCUUUGCUCCUCUGGAGAGAAACCUGAAGCAGAAGCCACGUCCUGUUUUCCAGGGAAACCUCAUCAUUGACCUGUCACAGCCCAGGGCCUGCUGGGAAAAUCUCUCAGGUACAGACCACCCCCGAUAGUUGUUCUAAAAAGGGAGUUAUCUACCGGAGGAAUAUUCCCCAGGAAUAAUUGCUAAAAGGCCUAAUUUUGGAGAUAACCACUAUUAUAAAUGUCUCAUUACUUUAAUUAAAGUCUCAUCCAUCACAGAUGCGCUGUUCCCUGAAGCACAAGCGGCCAAUGCGGCGGCAGCCAGCGUGAGAGGCCGAGCGUGUAUUCACAGAGCAGCCUCCUCCCAACCUUCUGGAUCAGAUGCUGGCAGCCCUGCCAUCCCCCCCACCAAUGCCCCAUUUCCUCCUCCAUGGCCCAAAUACCACGUGCCCUUUCAAACCCCUUCUCUGCUCCGACUACCCAAGUGUGAUGUCCCCCGUCUCCGAGCGGGAGAGUCAGCAAAAGCUGGCAUUCGGCAAACCAGAGUGUGACAGGGCCCGUCAGAAGCAGAGGAUGCCCAACAGCUGGUGUCUCGGGAGAAAAGUGGCAAGGCCCCUAACACAGAUUUGUGUAUCGGGAUUUUGGGGGCUGUGUCUGCCACCCUGGGGGUUAUCAUGUCCAACCUCAGCGGAUUCAACUCACUGUGUGCAAGGCCCUGGACGUAUGUUGUCCUGUUCAGUCCCACGACAGCUCUGUGAGGUUGUGCAGUUGACUCUUGGAUGAUGUGGAGAUUGGAGCGCUGACCCUACACAGCUGAAAAUCUGUGUAUAACU